rnacentral:rRNA from 1 species
AUUGAACGCUGGCGGCAGGCUUAACACAUGCAAGUCGAGCGAGCGGCGGACGGGUGAGUAAUGUCUGGGAAACUGCCUGAUGGAGGGGGAUCACUACUGGACACGGUAGCUACUACCGCAUACCAUCAGAUGUGCCCAGAUGGGAUUAGCUAGUAGGUGGGGUAAUGGCUCACCUAUGCGACGAUCCCUAGCUGGUCUGAGAGGAUGACCAGCAAAACGGGAACUGAGACCCGGUCCAGACGCCUACGGGAGGCAGCAGUGGGGAAUAUUGCACAAUGGGCGAAAGCCUGAUGCAGCCAUGCCGCGUGUGUGAAGAAGGCCUUCGGGUUGUAAAGGACUUUCAGCGAGGAGGCGUUACUCGCAGAAGAAGCACCGGCUAACUCCGUGCCAGCAGCCGCGGUAAUUC